UCUAAUUUUACCAUUAACAAAAGACCGAAAAAUUUUAUGCUGUAUUUGAUUUGAUAAAAAAUAAGAGAAAAAUAAAAAGUUGAGGGAAAUUUGUUGACAACACAAACGAAAAGGGACAAAGAAGUUAUGGGACGUGCAGGAGAGUUGUUAGAAUAAGUAAUUUAUCCCAAUUCUUCCCAACAAAAGAAAGAAACAUCUGAUCUGAGUUCAAAUCUGCCCCCGCACCCAGUUUUUCCCCACAAAUGCCCCACACGCUCACGAGCCGCCACCUGUCCCUUCACACGAGAUACGUAAGUAGCGCGUGCGGGGCUAACAUAACGUUCGUUAAUCCCUUCCGUUACCCCCCAAAAGUCCCAUUUACUCCUUCACCCUUCAUUCGACAGCUCCAGGUUAGGUAUCUCAAGACCCUCUUCUUCCUCUCCUCCCUCUCGAGUGCCUGACCCUAACUGUUUCUCCCUUGCCAGAGCAUCUUCUCCUUCUCCUUACUCCCCGACCCAUCUUUUCACCUCGUUUUUUAUUUUUUCUUUAUUUUUUCUGAUGUUUUCGUUUUCCAGAUAUCAGAUAAACCGGCGACAUUUGUCAUCUUCCCCUUCUCCGGCACCGGCACCUACAACGGCAACCGGCAAUAUCAGAGAAACCGGCGGACCAGAUCAUUUGACACUCCAUUACUGAAUAGUGAAUUCACACAUGUGAAGGAGUGAUCAGAUGUAACUGAAAUUGAAGGAAAGGAGAAAUAAGGGUGUAGGCAUUUUCUAGUGGCUUUGGUGUACAACCCACGCUUGAUGAGCAAAUUGGAGUUGGCCGGGGGACCAGAUCAAUUAAUGCAGUGGGUAGCCAUGUCUUCAGUACUGUUUCUUCUUCAUCGCAGCUGGGCUACUUUUUUUAUAGAGUCGUAGCUGAACAAAACAAACAACAGUUGGAGGUCCCACAAGCUUUUUAAUGGUUUUGUUCUAGCAAGGUGAGAUGUCUACCUCUCUCUUUCUCUCUCUCAGGCUCAACGCUGUGCAUGGGUCAGUGGAUGUGUGGGGUAGUUCUGUUCUUGGAGUUGCCAUUCUUAUCUAGGCCUAACCCAGUCAGUGCAACUGUGCAAUGACAUAUUUAGCCUCUCCUUCCACACUAACCACCUGGGAAUCUGGAAUUUCUUCAGAGACAAAAACCCAGCUACACAGUUCAUGGAAUUGCAGUCAGUUCAUCAAAAUAAACAGAAAUUAAUACAGAAUUAUCCCAUCAGAUCUCAAGCAAUUAGAAUUAAUGGUCACCAUGACUGAUGACUCUGAAAGUCUUCACCAUCAGCCAGUUAGCAAAUUAAUAAUGGAGUUUGACUCAAUAAGUUUAUCUGUGCGGUUGGUGCUGUAGGUGGGGGGCCGCGCAAGUCACGUAAGCUGGAAGUCUCGUCAAUCGAUCAAUAAACAAAUUAAAAAAACCAAAGAUUAACCAGUUUUGAUCAUCUAAACAAAUGGUUUAAUUUGCAGCAGCUGCAUUAAUUAAAGAAGAGAUGAAGAUGGUCUGCAUAUUGAUGAAAUUCUUGAUGAUGAGAUGAAAGACUGAAGAGAUAGUCACCACCUUCAAUGAGUGAAAAGAUCAGAAAAAAAAA